UUGGAGUAACAUAUGCACCAACACCUCUCACACGACCACACUGUUCGGGCUUCCCAAGUGCUUGUGUAAGGACAUCAUCACUUGGUCCACUACUGGUAAACACACCAUCAUGCUUUUGUCGUAGGUAAACAUCCUACAAAGCAAAUUGUUAACAAAGUAAGUAAUAACAAUUAAAUUAAAUAUUUUGCAAUCAUAAAUACUUACAAUCUUUGAAACUGUUUCUGUCAACAUUUCACCCUCAAAUUCCCCUUUCUUGUUUGCUCGUGCUUGCUUCCACAAAAGUGCUCUAUCA
rnacentral:lncRNA from 1 species